rnacentral:rRNA from 1 species
AGAGUUUGAUCAUGGCUCAGAAUCAACGCUGGCGGCGUGCCUAACACAUGCAAGUCGAGCGAGAAAGGGUAGCAAUACCUGAGUAAAGCGGCGCACGGGUGAGUAACACGUGGAUAACCUGCCUCGAAGUGGGGAAUAACCCCGGGAAACCGGAGCUAAUACCGCAUAUUCUGACGAGAUCUGCGGAUUUUGUCAGGAAAGGAGCAAUUCGCUUUGAGAGGGGUCCGCGGCUGAUUAGCUAGUUGGUGAGGUAAUGGCUCACCAAGGCCACGAUCAGUAGCCGGUCUGAGAGGACGGUCGGCCACACUGGAACUGAGACACGGUCCAGACUCCUACGGGAGGCAGCAGUGGGGAAUUUUUCGCAAUGGGGGCAACCCUGACGAAGCAACGCCGCGUGGGUGAUGAAGUAUUUCGGUACGUAAAACCCUUUCGACGGGGAAGAAACCGCAAGGUUGACGGUACCCGUAGAAGAAGCCCCGGCUAACUCCGUGCCAGCAGCCGCGGUAAUACGGGGGGGGCAAGCGUUGUUCGGAAUUACUGGGCGUAAAGGGCGCGUAGGCGGUUCGCUAAGUUGAAUGUGAAAACUCUGGGCUUAACCCAGAGCCUGCAUCCAAAACUGGCGAACUGGAGUACUGGAGGGGAAAGCGGAAUUCCUGGUGUAGCGGUGAAAUGCGUAGAUAUCAGGAGGAACACCGGUGGCGAAGGCGGCUUUCUGGACAGUAACUGACGCUGAGGCGCGAAAGCCGGGGGAGCAAACAGGAUUAGAUACCCUAGUAGUCC